GAUUAUUUAGUUUAAAUAUAAAACAAAUGUUUUGAAAACAUUCAAUAAGAAUAAAUUCUUAAUAAUUG
rnacentral:tRNA from 1 species